rnacentral:rRNA from 1 species
UACGGAGGGUGCAAGCGUUGUUCGGAAUCACUGGGCGUAAAGGGCGUGUAGGCGGUCCGCUAAGUCUGAUGUGAAAGCCCGGGGCUCACCCCCGGAAGGGCAUUGGAAACUGGCGGACUCGAGUCCCGGAGAGGAAGGUGGAAUUCCUGGUGUAGCGGUGAAAUGCGUAGAUAUCAGGAGGAAUACCGGUGGCGAAGGCGGCUACCUGGACCGAUAUUGACGCUGAGACGCGAAAGCGUGGGGAGCAAACAGG